CGGCGCGGGCGUAGGAUAUUUGAGAGGAGCUGUCCUUAGUACGAGAGGACCGGGAUGGACGGACCGCUGGUGUAUCUGUUGGGUACCAAGCCCAUGGCAGAGUAGCCAAGUCUGGACGGGAUAAACGCUGAAGGCAUCUAAGCGUGAAGCCCCCCUCAAGAUGAGAUAUCCCAUAGCGUAAGCUAGUAAGACCCCUUGAAGACGACGAGGUAGAUAGGUUAGAGGUGGAAGUGCAGUAAUGUAUGGAGCUGACUAAUACUAAUCGGUCGAGGGCUUAACCAAAA
rnacentral:rRNA from 1 species